rnacentral:rRNA from 1 species
CCCGGGGGGAGCAAGCGUUGUUCGGAAUUACUGGGCGUAAAGGGCUCGUAGGCGGCCAACUAAGUCGGAUGUGAAAUCCCCAGGCUUAACCUGGGAACUGCAUCCGAUACUGGAUGGCUUGAAUCCGGGAGAGGGAUGCGGAAUUCCAGGUGUAGCGGUGAAAUGCGUAGAUAUCUGGAGGAACACCGGUGGCGAAGGCGGCAUCCUGGACCGGCAUUGACGCUGAGGAGCGAAAGCCAGGGGAGCAAACGGG